UACAGAGGUCCCAAGCGUUGUUCGGAUUCACUGGGCGUAAAGGGUGCGUAGGCGGUCGGGUAAGUCUGAUGUGAAAUCUCACAGCUUAACUGUGAAACUGCAUUGGAUACUAUUCGGCUUGAGAGUUGGAGGGGGGACUGGAAUUCUUGGUGUAGCAGUGAAAUGCGUAGAUAUCAAGAGGAACACCAGUGGCGAAGGCGAGUCCCUGGACAACUUCUGACGCUGAGGCACGAAAGCGAGGGGAGCAAACAGG
rnacentral:rRNA from 1 species